UGCGAGGCCGCGCGGGACCACGACUGCAAAUGUCCCCAAGGGUUCAGCUGCGCCGACGAGCCCUGCCAGUACUGCCAGAGAGUGCCCCGCUGUGGGCCCGGCUACCAGCCCCACAGGAUCGGAGAGGUGAGUUUCUUGUUUGAGUGCCAGCCCUGUGAGAACGGGACCUACUCCAGCAGCAGGAACGACUGGUGCCACAACUGGACUGACUGUGAGAGCAGCGGGUUCGUCACUCUCCGGGCAGGGAACAGCACCCACAACUCCGUGUGCAGCUUACCUGUGCGAGCCCUGGAGCCAGGUACUGAGAAAUCCCAAAAAACGGGGAGAAUCCCGGGAAAA